UGGGGAAUAUUGCACAAUGGGCGCAAGCCUGAUGCAGCCAUGCCGCGUGUAUGAAGAAGGCCUUCGGGUUGUAAAGUACUUUCAGCGGGGAGGAAGGUGUUGUGGUUAAUAACCACAGCAAUUGACGUUACCCGCAGAAGAAGCACCGGCUAACUCCGUGCCAGCAGCCGCGGUAAUACGGAGGGUGCAAGCGUUAAUCGGAAUUACUGGGCGUAAAGCGCACGCAGGUGGUCUGUCAAGUCGGAUGUGAAAUCCCCGGGCUCAACCUGGGAACUGCAUCCGAAACUGGCAGGCUUGAGUCUUGUAGAGGGGGGUAGAAUUCCAGGUGUAGCGGUGAAAUGCGUAGAGAUCUGGAGGAAUACCGGUGGCGAAGGCGGCCCCCUGGACAAAGACUGACGCUCAGGUGCGAAAGCGUGGGGAGCAAACA
rnacentral:rRNA from 1 species